CACAAAAACCAGUGCGAGGACUGACGAGGGUGCCUUCUGCCCACAGUGGGUGUGUGUGUGUCUGCGUUUGUGUGCCAUAUGUGAUUAAAGGGUCCGAGCAGAGGAGGCCAGGAGGCAGACGAGUGAUGCAAUCCGCGGAAGCAAAGGAGAAGACACGAGGGCGGCAGGAAGGAAAGGGAGGAGGAGGAAAGAGAGGAAGGAGGAAUUGUUGCUUCUGGGGAUCCAGCUCUCCAGGAAUGUGCUGACGGUCAUGUCCCACACGGUCGGGGGGAGCGUUGCAUUCUGGGAAACUCUGCGGAGGUGACACCACCUGUUUUGGCGUGCUGCAGAUUGCCGACGGAUGAUAACAUCGCACGUUAUAAAAGGGAUAGACUUUGCUGGAGGCCCGAAUCCACCCUCACGCAGCAGCAGUGGAGAUCUAUUUCGGUACGAGCUACACAAUGUCCACAAGCACCCACACAGGCUCGGUGGGUAAGGUGAUUGGAAACUUACAGGACCUUUUCAGAAUGAUCCAAACAUUUGAGCAUGUUCUAAUUGCAAGAAAGACUCCUGAAGAACUUCUUUCAGAAACUUUUUUUUUAUUGUAAAAAGUAUCUAGUCCAGGGUAGGUUCUUUUGAAUGGCUCUGAAAAACAGCUGUGCAGGUUUCAUCACUGAGUGGUUAAACUCAUGAGGACAAGAAGCACCACUUUCCUGCCCUCUCGAUGUCCAUGUCCUCUCCAACAUCGCCAUCAACAACGUAAAAUUCACUAGUUCAGCUUAUAUUGCCUAUAUUCUUGUACAACUAGGGUUAUGUUGAAUAACUAAGUCUGACUUAUUGCCACUGUUGAAGCUGUCUGAUCCUUCACCAUAAUAUGCCCGAGUUCCGGCAGUGGAAAACUGCCUAUAGAUCUUAUGAUCUUAGAACAUUCGCUGUAAUUAACCCAUUUUCACUGUGUACCGAUUUGGAGUUUGAAUGGUGUUGAGCCGGGCCGUGCAAACAUCUCCGGGUCACGGAUUGUCCUGCGAUGGCAUUUACCUGUCACUGAAAACAGCCACACCCAUAAUUAUGCGUAGCUUUAAGUCUUAAUAAAUUUAAAUGGUUGAGUUAUAUAUGAAUUCAACCCCAGUACAGUUGUCAGGAAGAGGGAAAAGUAGCUACAGAGACCAAAAUAAUUUUUGUAUCCAGCUGUACAUGUGUUUACUUCUGCUGUAAAGUUGGACUUUUAAACAUCGGGGUCUAAGAGGAUUGACUCGUUUUUGGAGGCAGCUUCAAGUGGACACUCGUGGAACUGCAGAAUUCAUUUUUCAGCCCCAGAUGAUGCUACUCAGUUCACAGACAAUGUCAUCCCUGGAGUCACGGUUUGAGCAUGAUUAAAAAGUCAUACCUGUUUCUGCUCAUAUUUGGUGUGAAACUAUGUCCUUCUGUACAAACUUCUCAUCAUUCCAAGCCAUUAAUGGCAUGGAGAUUCUUCUGCAAUUUUUGUGCAUCACUGGCUGCUUAUGUCCUGAUGUCUCAUUGAGGUUUUAGAGGUUCCAGCAAUAUUCUGGCCCGGCUAAACGCUGUGUGGCUUCCAGCCAGUUCAAAAAAGAAAAGAGAGGGGAAAAAGGGGAAGGGCGUUAGGUUGAAGUGUUACGCGAGCACCAUAGACAGGCCUGGUGUGCUGUGUGUAUCCUGGCAAAGCAGCCUUGGCCUUGACAGGACUGCACAAACAUGUACAAUAUUUGACUCCAGACCAGCUUCAUCCUUACGUAAACAUGGGUGGAGAAUCAUAUUCAUUUACUAAAACAACUAAAACCGCUCUACAAAUUUGCAUAGAAUCAACAGAAAGAAGCAGAAACAUGCCAUUGACAAAACAGCAUCUGUUGAAACACAAGUCGUGAAAUAUGUUUUCUGUUAACCGAGUUCACUGACUGGAGGGGAAGAGAGAGAGACGCCGCAAAAUACUGACUGGUUUGUGAUUGGUCUGGCAGCAGCUGUGUGGUGAUAUGGGCAAGCACAAAGAGAAUGCUGUGGUUAUUCUUGGACCACCAGUGUCCACACUUCCAUGUACUCUGCUAGUGUUUACCAUCACUGGUUCAGUUCAUCUGCUGAGAUUAUGAGUCAGCCCUGUAAAGGAGCUGCAGAGAGGUCCUGCAAGGACACUGACUGACUGAUUUACCCUUGCUGCAUCCAAAUUAAAGUGUUUGUGCGAUACAGCACACAAACUGAGCCCAGACACAACCAUCACCAUCAAACUACUGAAUUCUGCUGUGUUCUUUUUCCUUUUACAGUGUAUGUGCUCUGUAGCCUCAAAUUAAAAUCGCCCUUGGCUUUGCUUUUCCUCUCACACAGUGCACAUUUUGUCGUGUUGUUUGUGUGCUGUGGAAUGUGAGCGCUGAUAUUUUCGGUUGUGUGGAGGAGUCUACCCAGAGCAGAGCAAACACGGCGCAGAGUCCGCAGAAUGUUUUGCUUGCUGAGUCCAUCACCUUUCAGCAAGCAUUUGCGCUUUGUCUUCUUCACUGACAACCUGAUGACGUGUCUGUGGGAAUUUAAUU
ensembl:lncRNA